GAUGAACGCUGGCGGCGUGCCUAAUACAUGCAAGUCGAGCGAACAGACGAGGAGCUUGCUCCUCUGACGUUAGCGGCGGACGGGUGAGUAACACGUGGAUAACCUACCUAUAAGACUGGGAUCACUUCGGGACACCGGCGCUAAUCCCGGAUAAUAUAUUGAACCGCAUGGUUGAAUAGUGAAAGACGGCUUUGCUGUCUCUUCUAGAUGGUUCGGCGCCGCAUUAGCUAGUUGGUAAGGUAAAGGCUUACCAAGGGGACGAUGCGUAGGCGACGGGAGAGAGGGGUGGGCCACACGGGAACGGAGACACGUUCCAGGCUCCUGCGGGACGCAGCAGUAGGGUACCUGCGGCAAUGGGCGAAAGCAUGACGGAGCGACGGCGCGUGUGAGAUGGAGGUCUUGCGAGCGGAAAACUGGGUUAUGAGGGAAGAACAGAUUUGUAAUUAGCUAUAGACGGCUUGACGGUACCGAAUCAAAAAGCCACGGCUAACUACGUG
rnacentral:rRNA from 1 species